rnacentral:rRNA from 1 species
GUGGGGUAAUUUUUCCGCAAUGGGCGAAAGCCUGACGGAGCAAUGCCGCGUGGAGGUGGAAGGCCUACGGGUCGUCAACUUCUUUUCUCGGAGAAGAAACAAUGACGGUAUCUGAGGAAUAAGCAUCGGCUAACUCUGCGCCAG